rfam:Patagioenas fasciata monilis isolate BTP2013 Sc31e1R_399, whole genome shotgun sequence.
AUAUGCAGCCACACCCCCCUGAGAACGCCCCAUCUCAUCUGCUCUGGGAAGCUAAGCAGGGUCGGGCCCGGUCGGCACUUGGAUGGGAGACCAGUGGGGUCCAGAGAGGUUCUCCUGCCCCUC